rnacentral:rRNA from 1 species
CUACGGGUGGCUGCAGUGAGGAAUAUUGCGCAAUGGGGGAAACCCUGACGCAGCGACGCCGCGUGGAUGAUGAAGGCCUUCGGGUCGUAAAAUCCUGUCAGAAGGAAAGAAGUGUAUGGUAGCUAAUAUCUGCCAUACUUGACGGUACCUUCAAAGGAAGCACCGGCUAACUCCGUGCCAGCAGCCGCGGUAAUACGGAGGGUGCAAGCGUUGUUCGGAAUUACUGGGCGUAAAGCGCGCGUAGGCGGUUUUAUAAGUCAGAUGUGAAAGUCCACGGCUCAACCAUGGAAGUGCAUUUGAAACUGUAAGACUUGAGUAUUGGAGGGGGUAGUGGAAUUCCCGGUGUAGAGGUGAAAUUCGUAGAUAUCGGGAGGAAUACCGGUGGCGAAGGCGACUAUCUGGCCAAAUACUGACGCUGAGGUGCGAAAGCGUGGGGAGCAAACAGGAUUAGAUACCCCCGUAGUC